UGAUAUAAAUAAGUGGUGAAAACAACUCGGCACAAUUUAACGCUUUGUUGCGGUCAAGUAACUUUAGAAUUCCAUCGAGUGAACACAGUCGGCUAGCAGAAAUACACAAAAAACAAAUAAAACCAAAAAAAGCAAAUGAAAACAAGUGCAGAGUAAUGAAAGAAAAAGCAUGAAGACGCGUCGACAUGAAAGGGAAUUCUUCAGCGUGUUUUUAAGCCGAUUUGAUUCUGCGUCAAACAAGAGGAUAAUGACCUUGGAUACCAUCCGUUUUCCUUGUGGGCAGUUUCCACAUCCCAAUUCCAAUCCUCACUCCCCAUUCCCAUCCCAAUCCUCGUCCCCGGUGUCAUUUCCGAUCUCCUGACUGCGGUUAGAUGGCCAACUUAAUAAGCAAGAUAUCCCCAAACUGAGGCCCCGGACUCCCGUUCAAGUUUUCGACUCACUGCGCUUUUGGCCGGACUCCAAGCCAAGUUAAUGCCAAUAUUUUACUCAACUUGUCCGGCCUUCAAGCCGCCACUCAGCUGGCCAAGACCACCGAGCCACUUAGGAUUAGAGCUACAUUUUUCAGCUGAUUACUAUGACGAGUGACUUAAUAUUCGGAAAGGAAAGUGGAAGCACUCGAAAAGGCCUUGCUAAUGGAUCAGUUGAAAAUCAGUUCUUAGCCAUUGUAAUUGAAAAGUUAAUAAAACAGGCUUAAAAGGUGAAA